rnacentral:rRNA from 1 species
GCCCUUAACAGGAUUAGAUACCCUGGUAGUCCACGCUGUAAACGAUGAAUACUAGGUGUUGGAUACAUUAGUUUCCAGUGCCGCAGUUAACGCAUUAAGUAUUCCACCUGGGGAGUACGAUCGCAAGGUUGAAACUCAAAGGAAUUGACGGGGGCCCGCACAAGCAGUGGAGCAUGUGGUUUAAUUCGAUGCAACGCGAAGAACCUUACCUAGGCUUGAAAGGCAAGUGACCGAGUGUGAAAGCACUCUUCCCGCAAGGGCACUUGUACAGGUGCUGCAUGGCUGUCGUCAGCUCGUGCCGUGAGGUGUUGGGUUAAGUCUCGCAACGAGCGCAACCCCUACCAUUAGUUGCCAUCAGGUUAUGCUGGGCACUCUAAUGGGACUGCCUACGCAAGUAGUGAGGAAGGUGGGGAUGACGUCAAGUCAGCAUGGCCCUUACGUCUAGGGCUACACACGUGCUACAAUGGAUGUUACAACGGGUAGCGAAGCCGCGAGGUGGAGCCAAUCCCUAAAAGGCAUCCUCAGUUCGGAUUGCAGUCUGAAACUCGACUGCAUGAAGCUGGAAUUGCUAGUAAUCGCGCAUCAGCAUGGCGCGGUGAAUACGUUCCCGGGCCUUGUACACACCGCCCGUCAAGCCAUGGGAGCUGGGGGGACCUGAAGUCCGUAACCGCGAGGAGCGGCCUAGGGUAAAAUCAGUGACUGGGGCUAAGUCGUAACAAGGUAACCAAGGGC